rnacentral:lncRNA from 1 species
UUGAGACAUUUUGAAAAAAACAUGUGCCCAUUUUUAACUGCCUCCUACACCAACUCAGAAGCUAGGAUAUGCAUAUUAUAACACAUUCGGAUAUGCAUAUUAUUAACACAUUCGGAUAGAAAACACUGAAUUUUCUAAAACAGUUUGAAUGGUGUCUGUAAGUAUAACAAAACUCAUAUUGCAGGCAAAAACCUGUGAAAAAUAGAUCCAAAAAAAUGUGAAUUUUGUGACUGUACUAUUUAGUGUCAUUGUUUUAUAGAUACCAUAGUGAGAAAGGAUUCAUUUCGCAACACCUACGGCUUCCACUAGAUGUCAACGAUCUUUAUAAAGUUGUUUGAAGCGUCUAUGAUAAACAGAGAGCAAAUUAGAAUCCAAGGAAGUUGACAUGUCAUCACUUCAUUUUUUUGCGCCUGCGCAUAAAUCUUGAGAAACGUGAGUUUGUCAUCAUUUUUUAUCUAGACAUAGGAUAGGUUGUGUGAAAAUAUUACUGAUGUUUAACGUUAAAAAUGGACCAAAAGAUUAAUGCUAAACAACAUUUGACAUGUUUGAACGAACAUAAAUAGAUUAUUUACUAGGUUUUUUUAGCUUUUCGGCGUGAUUUUACCAGCCCCCCACCACGUUUUGUGGGAGCAUAAUGAACGCUAAGUACUUGGUGUUAUUUGGACAUAAAUUAUGAACUUUGUCAAAAGAAACCACAUUUGUUCCGGACCUGGAAUGCCUUCCGGACCUGGGAUCCUGCCUUCUGAUGGAGAUAAUCAAAGGUAAGGGGGUAUUUACAAUGUUAUUAUCGAUUUUAGAUGAUGCUAACUGUAUAGCCUGUUGUUCUUAGCAUAGCACCCCGUUUAUUGCAAAAUGUGAUUUCCCAGUAAAGUUAUUUUGAGAUCUGGCCAUUCGGUAGCAAUUACGAGAUGAUAAUAUAUUAUUCUUUGAAUGACAAUAUUAUAAUUUACCAAUGUUUUCGAAUAGUAAUUUUGUUAUGUUCACCGGAAGCAUUUCAGAGAAGAAAAAAAUCUGAAUUUCACGCUACUGUAAAAUGCUGUUUUUGGAUAUAAAUAUGAACUUGAUGGAACAAAAAAUGCAUGUAUUGUAUAACAUAAUGUCCUAGGAGUGUCAUCUGAUGGAGAUUGACAAAAGUUAGUGCAUAAUUCUAGCUGGUUUCUGCUUUUGGUGACGCCUGACCUUGAAUUGAAAAUGGAUGUUUGUACUUUUGUGGCUAUGUACUGUCCUAACAUAAUCUAACUUUAUGCUUUUGCCGUAAAGCCUCUUUGAAAAUCGAACAAUGUAGUUAGAUUAAGGAGAUGUUUAUCAUUUAAAUUGUGUAAAAUAGUUGAUUGUUUGAGAAAUUGAAAUUAUUAGAUUUUUGAUGUUUUGAAUUUCCAGCCUUGUUAGCAAUCCCGGCUCGGGGUUCAUUGCUAACCUGUAGCCCCAACAGGUUAAUGCCAGUAGCAGGUCAUUGGUAAAAAUUGAAAAAAAGUAGAGGGCCUAGAGAGCUGCCCUGGGGUACACCACACUUUACAUGUUUACAUCAAAAGCCUCCAUUAAAUAAACCCUAUGAGUUCUAUUAGAUAGAUAGCUCUGAAAUCAAUGAUAUGGCAGAGGUUUAAAAGCCAUAACACAUAAGUUCACAACAACAGGUUAUGGUCAACAAUAUCAAAUGCUGCACUGUAAUAUAACAAUCGUCCACAAUCGUCUUAUACAUUUUUCAACCAAUCAUCUUUCUUUGUAUCAGUAUAGUAAAUGUUGAGUGCCGUUCUCUAUAAGCAUGCUGAAAGUCUUUUACAGUUUUUCCCAAUGAUUUACACACUAAAACUGGUCUAUGAGGCAAUGACCCAAACCUGUAACUCAUUUAGCAGAACCAUACACCAAAUCUGGUAAUACUACUGGUUCUUGUUUUGCUUUAAACUCAGAUUGCAAUUCUAUAACAAACACUUGGCAAAACACAACACAAUUCUCUACCUUUGGCACAACCUUCCCAACUAAAAUAUAUUGUGUGCAAAUGAAAAGCAAGUGUUCAACAAGCUAAGCUCAAUUACCAAUUACUCACAUUCACUCUUCACAUGUGCAAACACUAAUUGCAUAAAUGUUCACCUUGGAAUCAGAUAUUUGGUAUGGUUAAAAAGGCCACACUCUGUUUGGAGAACAAUGGAAGAAAACUUGGCAGAGAGAGGUAGAGGAAGACCAAGAACAAGGAGAGUGAUCUCUGAUGAAAUUUGGGCAACUGUGGUGGACCAAGUAGUCAACCAGGGCUUGACCUUGAGAGAGGCUGUGCAGAGUGUGCAGCCCAAUCUGAGCCGCUUUCACAGUAGCAUCCAUCAUGCUGGCGUUCCUAAACGAGAAUAGGUUUGUACUGCAGACAUUGGAUCUACUAGUUGACAUCAGCACUACAAAAAGCACAGUAAAGACUGUAGAUUCCAAUACAUACAUACUGUAAGGGGAAACAAAGUAAAUGUUUGAUGUGUUACUGUAUAUAUGAAAUUGGGAGCUAUACAUGUUUAUGGUGGACACUGUAGUGUUUACUCUACUGUACACUAUUUUGUUUUUUUAGAAUUGAAAGACAUCAACCACAUGGCGGUAGAACGCGUCUGUUUAAAGACGAACAGGAGGCUGCCAUUGUACAAAUGGUAAUUGAAAAUAAUUCCCUAAGACUGCAGGAAAUCCAUCAAGAUUAUUGAAAACCCUGCCAUCUUCCAUAACAUCGGAGUGAGUUGUUCAACCAUAGUCUGUAUCCUUAAGAAAAACAAUCUCCUGACGAAGCAAAUCUACAGUCCCAUUUGAAAGGAAUUCCCAAGAGUGAAGGAUAAACGGCAAAAAUGUGUAAAACCAUGGAGUUUGAUGCAAGUCCCAUCUCCCAGGAACGCAUUCAUAGAUGAGGCUGAAUUAAAUUUUGCGAAGACGAGGAGAGGAAGGAACAUCAUUGGUUAUCAUUGAGGUGGCGAAUCGCAUCUCUGCAUGUCUGGCAGAC